rnacentral:lncRNA from 1 species
UUUUAAUGAGCUAGGCAGAUGAUAGGUAAUGAAAGGGGUUUUAGCUAGUCUCACAUGUAGCUGGUGUUCGAUCGAUUUUUGAUGACUGCUUAAUCACUGAGGUUAAUUGGGGACGGGCUGGUGUAAACUCAUGGGAAGAAAGGCUCUCCAACUUUUCCAUGGACGGAGGAGAAUUCCUUCUGAUAGGAGUGGAGCAGGCUUCUGAGUCUCUGACCCACUUCAGCAAACCUCAGGGCCCUCUGGGGCACAUCAUGUUCAUUUGCCCUGUGAAGGAGUAGAUUCUUUGGGGUUGGAGCUACUAAUUCUUAAGAACAAGUUGUUUAGGGACUACUUUUAUAAGUUUUGUGGUCAAUUUUUAGCAUUCUACUAAUGCUUUUCAUAUCACU